rnacentral:rRNA from 1 species
CCCUUAGAUGUUCUGGGCCGCACGCGCGCUACAAUGGCAGACUCAGCGAGUUACCUCUGUCGAAAGGUACAGGGAAUCUUUACAGUAUCUGCCGUGAUGGGGAUAGACCCUUGUAAUUUUUGGUCUUCAACGAGGAAUUCCUAGUAAACGCAAGUCAUUAACUUGCAUUGAUUACGUCCCUGCCCUUUGUACACACCGCCCGUCGCACCUACCGAUUGAAUGGUCCGGUGAAGUCCUCGGACCCAGUUGAACCUCGAGUUGAACAGGGAAAGUUGACUAAAUCUUACCAUUUAGAGGAAGGUGAAGUCGUAACA